rnacentral:tRNA from 1 species
GGGAAGUUAGUCCAAUAAUGAAGACCAUUAGUUUCGACCUAAUAAAUUGUGAUUAAACUUCACAACCUCCCU